UUAUGGAUCUGUACAGCCCCCUAGGGACCGGGUACGAUUGCACAACCAGCCAGUCGCUGAUAUUCACUAUGUGGUCAGCGUUUCAGACAUUGUGCCGGUUUCGAAGCAUUUCCUCUUCCGCUGCCGAAUGCAGGAGUUGGUGUACAGUUAUUGUCUGAUGCCCUUGGCAGUUAUAUUCUAUGGCCGCGUGCAUUGGUGCGGUUAUCAGAUCAGGCCGACAGGAAGGGAAAGAAGGUAGCUUCACCUCAGGGAGGCCGACGUGCCCAAGUAAAUGUAUCUACGGCAAAGUCUCCACUCAUUACGGAUAUGGAGGUGGUGCAAGGCCUUACUCAACCGUGCUUCUGGCUACAUGAGUGCGUUAGCGAUGCAGACGAUGAAGCAAUGAUUGAGAUUAAGUUGUCGGACCACCAAUUCCACUACAUUGAGGAAACAUCGACCUUUAUUUCUAAGGCUAUUAUACAAUGAUUUGAGGCGAUCUAGUCAGCCAAUGUUUGGUUGGUUAUGUCCAAGCUUUGUACGAGAGAACAGUUGCGUAAAAAACGAAGAGGAGGUGAAAUCAUAUCUCAA